rnacentral:rRNA from 1 species
GGAGUUAGCCGGUGCUUCUUCUGUGAGUGAUGUCCUUCCUGCCGGCUAUUAACCCGCAGGCCUUCUUCCUCACUGAAAGUGCUUUACAACCCGAAGGCCUUCUUCACACACGCGGCAUGGCUGGAUCAGGGUUGCCCCCAUUGUCCAAUAUUCCCCACUGCUGCCUCCCGUAGGAGUCUGGGCCGUGUCUCAGUCCCAGUGUGGCUGAUCAUCCUCUCAGACCAGCUACGGAUCGUCGCCUUGGUGAGCCGUUACCUCACCAACCAGCUAAUCCGACAUAGGCUCAUCCGAUAGCGCGAGGCCCGAAGGUCCCCCGCUUUCCCCCGUAGGGCGUAUGCGGUAUUAGCCUGGGUUUCCCCCAGGUUAUCCCCCACUACCGGGCAGAUUCCUAUGCAUUACUCACCCGUCCGCCGCUCGCCACCAGGGAGCAAGCUCCCCGUGCUGCCGCUCGACUUGCAUGUGUUAGGCCUGCCGCCAGCGUUCAAUCUGAGCCAGAAUCGAAUCCUGA